rnacentral:rRNA from 1 species
CUACGGGAGGCUGCAGUGGGGAAUAUUGGACAAUGGAGGAAACUCUGAUGCAGCAACGCCGCGUGGAGGAUGACACUUUUCGGUGCGUAAACUCCUUUUAUAUAGGAAGAAGAUGACGGUACUAUAUGAAUAAGCGCCGGCUAACUCCGUGCCAGCAGCCGCGGUAAUACGGAGGGCGCAAGCGUUACUCGGAAUCACUGGGCGUAAAGAGCGUGUAGGCGGAUUAAAAAGUCAGAAGUGAAAUCCUAUAGCUUAACUAUAGAACUGCUUCUGAAACUCUUAAUCUAGAAUAUGGGAGAGGUAGAUGGAAUUUCUGGUGUAGGGGUAAAAUCCGUAGAGAUCAGAAGGAAUACCGAUUGCGAAGGCGAUCUACUAGAACAUUAUUGACGCUGAGACGCGAAAGCGUGGGGAGCAAACAGGAUUAGAUACCCUGGUAGUC